AAAUCUGUGUCGCCAUUACAAAUGGUUGCACCUACUAUAUAUGGGGUUCAAAUUACUCGUUAUGGGGAGCUCUAUCUCUUGAGAUGGGUAAAAAAAACACGUAGCUGAUUGUGGUGAAACUCUGAAGUAAUACCGAGACCUUAGCUACUGGGAGACUCGGGGCGCUGGUAGGAUCUCGCAGACAUCUACAGGUGAAGGAUCCUUGAGGGACGGGUGGCACCUAAUACAGCAGCCCUCGGCCCCUCGCACUGCAGCCUGAUAGCCUGACACCACCGAGAGCAGUAGUAGUAGAUACAUAAGAACCAGCCUGCCAACCCGACCCCCACACAAUACAAGGUUUGGGAGCAGCGGUGGCCCACCCUGGCUCUGGCUGAGACAUGAGCCAUGGCCUCUGAACUACACUAAGCAAUGACUUGCUGCGUGGUGGUGGGCUUGUUAUUUAGUGUUUGGGUUCCUUGUCUUCCAGCAGUGAGUCCAGCCGAGUGGGACAAUGUUCAUGUUACGGCAAGCCUCAUCACGGUGACGCAGAGAGCAUGGACAGAUUACAAGAUUAUCAUUAAUUUUGAGUCAAAGUUCCUGAGUGGAAAAAAAAAGAGAAAAAAAUCUACAACCGAGUACACAAUCUGCUGGAAAUUAGAAAAAUAAAGAUUUGAUCACUAUUAAGUCAUUAACAUAAAGGCAGCGUGCUCCCAUGAAGAAAUUUCAAAAAGGCUCUGAAUAGUAAAAAAAAAAAAAAACAUCAAUUAUAUUGUACAACACAAGAAAGAACAAACUGCCUUCCACUUCAAGACUGGAGAAAAUACAGUAAUAACAACAAGGACUCCAAAUAAAGGAUGAAAAUCUAUCUCACUUCCUAUCACAAUGCCCAGACUAUGUUGCUCAAAGAAAGACAUGGACAGUCGACCACUAGCUACGUCUGUCAGAUCCAACUAUUACUGCUGAACACUACCACCACCACCACCACCACAGCCCUAGGCUUCAAUAAGAGAAGUGACCAAUAUAUCUAUUUAUUAAAAUAUAACUGAGGUCUUCACAUUGCUUACAAGGUUACAAAUAACAUAAUUAAUAUCAUUGGGGCAAAGAGACGAUGAUGGAGUUCACCUUCAUUUUAAAUCAUAAAGUUAAGUAAUGUACAGUAAUGCAUCUCUCUCUCUCUCUCUCUCUCUCUCUCUCUCUCUCUCUCUCUCUCUCUCUCUCUCUCUCUCUCUCUCUCUCUCUCUCUCUCUCUCUCUCUCUCUC